rnacentral:rRNA from 1 species
CCCUUAGAUGUUCUGGGCCGCACGCGCGCUACACUGAUACAUGCAACGAGUUUAUAACCUUGAUCUGACGGUCUGGGUAAUCUUCAAACUGUAUCGUGUUAGGGAUCGAUUCUUGCAAUUUUUAAUCGUAAACGAGGAAUUCCUAGUAAACGCAAGUCAUCAGCUUGCAUUGAUUACGUCCCUGCCCUUUGUACACACCGCCCGUCGCACCUACCGAUUGAAUGGCCCGGUGAAAUCUCGGGACGGCGGCUUGGUCGCUUGCGUCCGACUGCUGAAACUUGAUUAAACCAUAUCAUUUAGAGGAAGGUGAAGUCGUANCA